rnacentral:rRNA from 1 species
UACGGAGGAUGCAAGCGUUAUCCGGAAUCAUUGGGCGUAAAGGGUCCUGAGGUGGUUUGCUAAGUCUACUGUGAAAGAUCAGGGCUCAACCCUGAAGAUGCGGUGGAAACUGGCAGGCUAGGAUACGGUAGGGGCAGGGGGAAUUCCCGGUGUAGCGGUGAAAUGCGUAGAUAUCGGGAAGAACACCAGUGGCGAAGGCGCUCUACUGGGCCACAACUGACGCUGAGGGACGAAAGCUAGGGGAGCGAAAGGG